GGGCUGUAGCUCAGUGGUAGAGCACUUGCUUUGCAUGCAGAAGGUCCCAGGUUCAAUCCUUGACAUACCCA